GGCACUAUGGUGUAGUUGGUUAUCACAUCUCCUUGACGAUGCUCUUACCUCAAGUAGAGCACAAUUCGGGAUGGAGAAGGUCUCCAGUUCAAGUCUGGAUAGUGUCA
rnacentral:tRNA from 1 species